rnacentral:rRNA from 1 species
AUACGUAGGGAGCGAGCGUUGUCCGGAAUUACUGGGCGUAAAGGGCGCGUAGGCGGCGCUUCAAGUCGUCUGUCAAAUGGAAGGGCUUAACCCUUUUUCGCAGACGAAACUGGAGAGCUUGAGAAGCAGAGAGGCAAACAGAAUUCCUGGUGUAGCGGUGAAAUGCGUAGAUAUCAGGAAUAAUACCAGUGGCGAAGGCGGUUUGCUGGCUGCAUACUGACGCUGAAGCGCGAAAGCCAGGGGAGCGAACGGGAUUAGAUACCCCGGUAGUCCUGGCAGUAAACGAUGUAUGCUGGGUGUGAGACUAGCGAUAGUUUCGUGCCGAAGUUAACGCGAUAAGCAUACCGCCUGGGGAGUACGGUCGCAAGAUUGAAACUCAAAGGAAUUGACGGGG